UACGUAGGGUGCAGGCGUUAAUCGGAAUUACUGGGCGUAAAGCGUGCGCAGGCGGUUUCUUAAGUCAGAUGUGAAAGCCCCGGGCUUAACCUGGGAACUGCGUUUGAAACUGGGAGACUUGAGUGUGGCAGAGGGGGGUGGAAUUCCAGGUGUAGCGGUGAAAUGCGUAGAUAUCUGGAGGAAUACCGGUGGCGAAGGCGGCAUCCUGGACCGGCAUUGACGCUGAUGAGCGAAAGCUAGGGGAGCAAACGGG
rnacentral:rRNA from 1 species